CAUGCAAGUCGCAGGGUAACAUGAGGAAAGCUUGCUUUCCUUGAUGACGACUGGCGCACGGGUGAGUAACGCGUAUCCAACCUUCCCAUAACUACGGGAUAACCCGUUGAAAGACGGCCUAAUACCGUAUGAUAUCGUUUGCUGACAUCAAAUAACGAUUAAAGGUUUAGCGGUUAUGGAUGGGGAUGCGUCUGAUUAGCUUGUUGGCGGGGUAACGGCCCACCAAGGCGACGAUCAGUAGGGGUUCUGAGAGGAAGGUCCCCCACAUUGGAACUGAGACACGGUCCAAACUCCUACGGGAGGCAGCAGUGAGGAAUAUUGGUCAAUGGGCGAGAGCCUGAACCAGCCAAGUAGCGUGCAGGAUGACGGCCCUAUGGGUUGUAAACUGCUUUUAUGUGGGGAUAAAGUGCGUGACGUGUCAUGCAUUGCAGGUACCACAUGAAUAAGGACCGGCUAAUUCCGUGCCAGCAGCCGCGGUAAUACGGAAGGUCCGGGCGUUAUCCGGAUUUAUUGGGUUUAAAGGGAGCGUAGGCUGUCUAUUAAGCGUGUUGUGAAAUAUACCGGCUCAACCGGUGGCUUGCAGCGCGAACUGGUCGACUUGAGUAUGCAGGAAGUAGGCGGAAUUCAUGGUGUAGCGGUGAAAUGCUUAGAUAUCAUGACGAACUCCGAUUGCGCAGGCAGCUUACUGUAGCAUAACUGACGCUGAUGCUCGAAAGUGCGGGUAUCAAACAGGAUUAGAUACCCUGGUAGUCCGCACGGUAAACGAUGGAUGCUCGCUAUUCGUCCUUUUUUGGAUGAGUGGCCAAGUGAAAACAUUAAGCAUCCCACCUGGGGAGUACGCCGGCAACGGUGAAACUCAAAGGAAUUGACGGGGG
rnacentral:rRNA from 1 species